ACAUUGCACAAUAUGCAAAGCAUUGUGCAAAUCAUCACUCCAUAUGAAGGAAGAUGAUGAUAGCUCAAUCUCAAAAAUUAAAAAAUACCAAUACUAGAAUGAUUGUAGUUCUCAUUCCACAAAUCAUCUAGAAUGGUUAAAACCUUCUUCAGAGACAAGAAUGUUAGAUUUAUUAGAGUUAUAUACAUAUGCUUUAUAAUCAAACUUCAAUAUAUCAUCGUUAUAAACAAGUUGAGUGUGAAUUUUCUUCCCUACUCCAUCCAUGCCCAUCAUUGGAAACAUAGGAGCUCAAAUUAUUUGCUUCAUACCUCAUCAGCAAUUCAAAUACAAAAUACUUAUCCUUUUCCCUUCCAUGAAUAUUAAACUCCUUCACCAACAAUGGUGUUGGAACUCUUUUGCACAAUCUAUUGGAAACCCCUUCAAAGGUCAUCCUCAAAUACAUGAUCACAAUUUCUUCGUAUAAGUCAUAUCCCUCAGUUAACUUGAGCAAUUCUUCACCUCUCUUUCUUCCUCCUUUCAGCUGAUUAUCCAAGAUCUAGGGAUCUUGACAUGAGGCUGUUAGGUGCAAGGAGAUCUAUGGAGCUUAGCAACUGAUAGAGAAGAAAGUAAAUUGGAAUAAGGGAAAAGAUGAAAGAUUGAGGAGAAAGAAUAUGUCUUGCGUGUUUAUUGGCAAAGAAGAAGACUUUAAAAAAGCAGGGCAAGAGUGUUGAAGGAAGAGGAAAGUAGAAGGAAUGGGCUGGUGAUUUACAAUGAAGGAAAGAAGUGGUUGAAAAGUAGAGCAUUGAGUGA
rnacentral:misc_RNA from 1 species